GAUGAACGCUGGCGGCGUGCCUAACACAUGCAAGUCGAACGGAGUAUCUUAUAUAGACUUUCUUAGGAGAUGAAAUAUUAGAUACUUAGUGGCGGACGGGUGAGUAACGCGUGGGUAACCUACCUCAUACAGGGGGAUAACAACCGGAAACGGCUGCUAAAACCGCAUAACAAAGACUAAUCGCAUGAUUAAUCUUUCAAAUAUUUUAUAGGUAUGAGAUGGGCCCGCGUCUGAUUAGCUAGUUGGUGAGAUAAAAGCCCACCAAGGCGACGAUCAGUAGCCGGCUUGAGAGAGUGACCGGCCACAUUGGGACUGAGACACGGCCCAAACUCCUACGGGAGGCAGCAGUGGGGAAUAUUGCACAAUGGGGGAAACCCUGAUGCAGCGACGCCGCGUGAGUGAAGAAGUAUUUCGGUAUGUAAAGCUCUAUCAGCAGGGAAGAAAAUGACGGUACCUGACUAAGAAGCCCCGGCUAACUACGUG
rnacentral:rRNA from 1 species